rnacentral:lncRNA from 1 species
UCUAAAUGAAGUUUCUGCUUCAAGCUUUAUUCUUUUCUAGUGGAGUGUCUAGUCAAAUAAGAAAGUUUAAAGCUCUUGUGGCGAAGAUGAUCGAAAAUGAUUUUGAAUUCGAAAAUUGAAGUUCAGAUUUUGAUAUAGUGCUGAUGCAAAUAGCAGUAGCCCUAAGUUAAGGCGAGAAAAUUGAAUUAUGACUUUUUUUUUAACUUAUGAAUCUAUUUGAUAUUACCGGAUCUUAUACUGAAAUACUAUUUAAGUAAAAUUCUCCAAACAAAUACUUAAAGAUUAAGUUAUUUUUUGUCAAAGCCUUCCAAAGAGUUCAAAAGUUUUAUGACAGAGCUUGUAGGGCUC